UCCGGAAGUGAGGGAGGGAGGACUUUCGUUCGCAGCCGCCUCCCAGCUGGAACCUCAUCCUUAGUACUCGGCCGCGGGCGGCGUAACUCGGGGUUCCGCCUCGGAAUACCUCCCACUUCUCUUGUCUAAGAGGAGCAGUAGCAAGCUGAGCUCAGAGCGAAGCUGGCGAGCCAAGGAGAUAAAGAACCCUCGGUGGGGAUGCCCAGAGGGUGCAUGCUCCACGCCCCUCGAAACCGACUCUCACUGCCGCUGCUGCAAAGCAACCUGAGGUGCGCCACCUGCCCGACUGAGGCUGCGCAAGUCCCGGGGUCUGGGCGGGGUGGUCCUCGUGCGCGCCGCGUCGCCGUGGAGACGAGGGCGGGCCCGCGCGAGACUGGCGUCUAGAGGCGCGCGAAGAGCUGAGGCGGGCGUGGACCGCGCGGGAGUUAAGAAGCAGGUCCCGGACCGCCCUAUACCGCCGGAUUUUCUCCCAACGUCAGGCCCGAUGGCUCGGCUUCCCCAGUUAGAAGGGGAAGAUAAAAGACUUUGAUUCAUGAAGAAUCUGCUCACUGAGAAGUGUAUAUCAAGCCACAAUUUCCAUCAAAAAGUGAUUAAGCAGAGAAUGGAGAAGAAGGUUGAUUCCAGAUGCGUGGCCAGAAAGUUCUUAUAUUUAUGGAUUCGAAUGACUUUUGGAAGAGUAUUUCCCUCUAAAGCCAGAUUUUACUAUGAGCAGCGAUUACUACGAAAGGUCUUCAAAGAAUGGAAAGAAGAGUGGUGGGUUUUCCAGCACGAGUGGAAACUCUGUGUUCGAGCUGACUGUCACUACAGGUAUUACCUGUAUAACCUGAUGUUCCAGACCUGGAAGACCUACGUGCGUCAGCAGCAGGAGAUGAGGAACAAGUACAUUAGAGCCGAGGUUCAUGAUGGAAAGCAAAAGAUGCGACAGGCCUGGAAGUCCUGGUUGAUCUACGUGGUUGUUCGUAGGACCAAACUUCAGAUGCAGACUACGGCUCUGGAGUUUAGGCAACGGAGUAUCUUAUGGGUGUGGUGGAGCAUGUGGAGGCAGCGACUAGGACAGGUCCGUGUGAGCCGUGCCCUCCAUGCCUCUGCUUUGAAGCACAGGGCCCUGAGCCUCCAGGUGCAGGCUUGGUCACAGUGGCGGGAACAGCUCCUGUAUGUCCAGAAGGAGAAACAGAAGGUUGUCUCUGCAGUGAAACAUCAUCAGCACUGGCAAAAACGGAGAUUUCUAAAGGCCUGGCUUGAAUACCUGCAAGUCCACAGAGUGAAGAGACAGCAGAAUGAGAUGGCUGAGCGAUUCCAUCAUGUCACUGUGCUCCAGAUACACUUCUGUGACUGGCAGCAGGCCUGGGAGCGGAGGGAGAGCUUGUACGCUCACCAUGCCCAGGUGGAGAAACUGGCCAGGAAGAUGGCCCUGCGGCGCGCCUUUACUCACUGGAAACACUACAUGCUGCUGUGUGCAGAAGAAGCUGCCCAGUUUGAGAUGGCAGAAGAGCACCACAGGCACAGCCAGCUGUAUUUUUGCUUUAGAGCCCUAAAAGACAAUGUGACCCACGCCCAUCUCCAGCAAAUAAGAAGGAAUCUCGCUCACCAGCAGCAUGGUGUCACGCUGCUGCACAGGUUCUGGAACCUCUGGCGGUCUCAGAUUGAGCAGAAAAAAGAAAGAGAGCUGCUCCCCUUACUGCAUGCUGCCUGGGACCACUACAGGAUAACACUGCUGUGCAAGUGUAUCAAAUUGUGGCUACAGUAUACUCAGAAGAGGCGGUACAAGCAGCUGCUACAGGCCAGAGCGGAUGGUCAUUUCCAGCAGAGAGCCCUGCCUGCUGCCUUCCACACAUGGAAUAGACUCUGGCGAUGGCGCCACCAGGAAAAUGUCCUCAAUGCAAGAGCAACACGUUUCCACAGGGAGACAUUAGAGAAGCAAGUAUUUUCUCUCUGGAGGCAGAAGAUGUUUCAGCAUCGAGAAAACCGCCUGGCAGAGAGAAUGGCCAUCCUUCACGCAGAGCGACAGCUUCUGUAUAGGUCUUGGUUCAUGUGGCACCAGCAGGCAGCAGCACGUCACCAGGAGCAGGAGUGGCAAACAGUGGCCUGUGCCCACCACCGCCACGGGCGGCUCAAGAAAGCUUUCUGUCUCUGGAGGGAAAGUGCCCAAGGGCUCAGAACAGAGAGGACGGGCAGGGUGCGGGCAGCAGAAUUCCACAUGGCCCAGCUCCUGCGUUGGGCCUGGAGCCAGUGGAGGGAGUGCCUGGCCCUGCGGGGAGCGGAGCGGCAGAAGCUGAUGCUAGCAGACCUGCACCACCAGCACAGCGCGCUGCACAGGGCGCUGCAGGCAUGGGUGACUUACCAGGGCAGGGUGCGAAGCAUCCUCCGGGAGGUGGCAGCCAGGGAGAGCCAGCACAACAGGCAGCUGCUGCGCGGGGCAUUACGUCGCUGGAAAGAGAACACCAUGGCCCGAGUGAAUGACGCCAAAAAAACCUUUCAAGCAAGUACUCAUUACAGAAGGACCAUAUGUUCCAAGGUCCUGGUCCAGUGGCGGGAAGCUGUGUCAGUGCAGAUAUAUUACCGACAGCAGGAAGACUGUGCCAUCUGGGAGGCCCAGAAGGUGCUGGACAGGGGCUGUCUGCGGACCUGGUUUCAGCGCUGGCGGGAUUGCAGCCGGAGGUCAGCCCAGCAGAGACUGCAGCUGGAGAGGGCAGUCCAACACCACCGCCGGCAGCUGCUGCUGGAGGGGCUGGCCCGGUGGAAGACGCACCAUCUGCAGUGUGUCAGGAAGAGGCUCCUGCACAGGCAGAGCACCCAACUGCUGGCACAGAGACUCAGCCGGACCUGCUUCCGCCAGUGGAGACAACAGCUGGCAGCCAGGAGGCAGGAGCAGCGGGCGACAGUGCGGGCCCUGUGGUUCUGGGCCUUCUCGCUGCAGGCAAAGGUGUGGGCCACGUGGCUGGCCUUUGUACUGGAAAGGAGGAGAAAGAAGGCGCGGCUGCAGCGGGCGCUCCAGGCCUACCAGGGGCAGCUCCUCCAGGAGGGUGCCACGCGGCUCCUGCGCUUUGCAGCCAGCAUGAAGGCCUCCCGGCAGCAGCUGCAGGCCCAGCAGCAGGUCCAGGCAGCUCACAGUCUCCAUCGUGCCGUCCGCCGCUGUGCCACGCUCUGGAAACAGAAAGUGCUGGGCCGGGGCGGGAAGCCUCAGCCCCUGGCAGCCAUCGCACCCAGCAGGAAAGUGACGUUUGAGGGUCCCCUUCUCAACCGCAUUGCUGCUGGGGCUGGGGAUGCCACCCUUGAGACCAAGAGGCCACAGGCUUCUCGGCCUCCGGGAGCUCUGGGCCGCCUGGCUGCUGAGGAGCCCCACGCCCUGGAGCUCAACACUGCCCACUCAGCGAGGAAGCAGCCGCGACGCCCACACUUCCUGUUGGAGCCUGCGCAGAGCCAGAGGUCCCUGGGGCCUCAGAAGCCACAGGAACAUGGCCUAGGCAUGGCUCAGCCAGCAGCCCCCUCUCUGACGCGGCCCUUCCUGGCAGAGGCCCCGACAGCACUGGUCCCACACAGCCCCCUGCCUGGGGCCCUGUCAAGCGCCCCUGGCCCGAAGCAGCCCCCGACGACAAGCACAGGCCCGGAGCUGCUGCUGCUGCCUCCUUCCUCCUUCAUGCCCUGCGGGGCGGCUGCACCAGCCAAGGUGUCAGCACAGCCGGCUACUCCUAGGGAUAAGCCCCCGGUCCCCUCAUCCCUGGCCAGUGUCCCUGAUCCCCAUCUACUCCUUCCUGGGGACUUCUCAGCCACCAGGGCUGGGCCUGGACUUUCAACUGCAGGCAACCUGGACCUUGAGGCUGAACUUGAGGAGAUCCAGCAGCAACUACUGCACUACCAGACCACCAAGCAGAACCUCUGGUGCAGAGAAGGGCCAGGUGCGGUGGCUCACACCUGUCAUCCCAGCACUUUGAGAGGCUGUGAUCCGGGCAGAUCACGGGGUUAGGAGUUCGAGACCAGCCUGGCCAAUAUGGUGAAACCCCCAUCUCUACUAAAAAUACAAAAAUUAGCCGGGCGUGGUGGUGCACGCAUGUAGUCCCAACUACUUGGAAGGCUGAGGCAGAAGAAUCGCUUCAACCUGGGAGGUGGAGCUUGCAGUGAGCCGAGAUCACGCCAUUGCACUCCAGCCUGGGCGACACAGCAACACUCCAUCUCAAAAAAAAAAAAAAAAAAAGUGCAGAGGAGACAGGCCCGCGACCCAGCUGCACUCAGUGGUCUGGGGACCAUUCAACAUGCAGCAACCUCAGAGCUUCCAGGGCAACAGACUGGCGCCUCAUCCUUGGCUCUGCACAGGGGGAGAGAGACAAGGAGUGUGUUUUCGCCCAGGCCCACCUGAGUUGCUGUCUGCUGGGGAGGGCGGAGGAGACUGGGAGAGGAAAAAGAACAAGUGUUUGGCUCCCAAGCAGGGGCCUGCAGUUCAGGUCAGGGGCCCUACCAAACCACCUCUCUCCACCCGAUACCCGCAUCAGAAUUAGCUGAGGUGCCUCUCCCUGAGCCGGAUGGGGCUCUGCCAAGGACCCAGCCUGGCAGGCAGUGGGUAUCUCCACCCCUCAGGUCCUGUCGGCGGCAAGCGAGCAGCCUGCGCAGGUGGCUAGAGCUGAACAGAGAGGAGCCGGGGCCUGAGGACCAGGAAGUAGAGCAGCAGGUACAGAAAGAGCUGGAACAGGUGGAAAUGCAGAUCCAGCUGCU